UCCGGAGGGUGCGAUCGUUGUCCGGAAUCACUGGGUGUAAAGGGCGCGCAGGCGGGACUCUCAGUCGAUGGUGAAAUCCUGCAGCUCAACUGUAGAAGUCCCGUCGAUACUGGAGGUCUUGAGCGCGGCAGAGGGAGACGGAAUUCAUGGUGUAGCGGUGAAAUGUGUAGAGAUCAUGAAGAACACCGGUUGCGAAGGCGGUCGCCUGGCCCGUUGCUGACACUGAGGCGCGAAAGCGUGGGGAGAAAACAGG
rnacentral:rRNA from 1 species